CUCUCUGUGCCCGUGUCCUGGUGCCAAAAGCUGUGGGCACAGAAGGGGGAGGGUGUCUGAGCAAGAGACCACGCCCCCCCUCUAGCCUUAAAGGUGACUGACAGCCCCGGUGCUGGUAACAGUGCGUGCGAUUGUGAAACCGAGAGAUGGUUCCAGGCAGGGGAUGACCCAGUGCGCAAGGCGGGCCUCCAGGGCCAGCGCGCUCUCAGGCAGCUGGACCUGAACCUGCUAACACCUCCGUGGCCUGCCCUGGCAGAAAAGUCUUCCCACAUCUGGGAUGUCCUCUCGGAUUCUGGCCUCUUAAAACCACUCACGAAAAGGUAACUCCAGACUGACAACUGUGGGCUCUAGAGAAUGGGGGUUUGUGGAAGGUUUGCAAUGAGGGGAGUAACUGUGCAACAUCUUACACAAUCUCUUGCCUCUU